rnacentral:lncRNA from 1 species
AAUAAUCAAAAAUAAUGAAAAAUAUUAAAUCUUAAGAGCCAUCGUUAGCAUGUAUUAGGCAUAUAAGACCCAUCAUCAGCAUCCAAGAUCACAAAUGCAUGGGAUCCUAUGAUUUAUGGUGUGCAGACGAAGAAUAGUCAAGGAAGCAGACAGUAAGGCUGCAGUGUGUCGUAGACGCUAUCAUUAAAACACAAGACUACUCCCAAGAUGAAGGAAGCCACGUUCGUAUGCAACCAAAGAGAAGUGGCAGGCCAAAAGACCCCUUAUCACCAUGCAUGCAUGCAUCCAAAGGCUAUAAAAGAAGCCUAGGACCUAUAAAGACCUAUAAAGGAGAUGCAUCAUGGACAUGGAGAAAGGUGAGGUAAAUAAUGCAAGGGAGCACUAUUUGAGCCAGCCAUGGUGCCUAUAUAAGGAGGCUCUUUGCAGCAUUGGAGCACACACAACCAUCGAGCACAACACAAGCCUUCAGAACAGCAAGUAGUUCAGGGCAGUUAGCCAGAAAACUAUCUGCUUUCUAGUAGUAGUAGUACCACUUCCCACUGUAAUAAAGCCUGUAUAAUCAAGGCAUUUGUAACAUAAGACUGGGAAGGUAGUAAGGUAAUUUCUUUAUCUUUGUGUGAACCCUUCGGGGGUUCCCGAAAGGGAAAACCGUAUGUAAGCUAUAUUGUGAAAUGAAGUAGUUUUGUUUUUCCCUCGGUCUUUUUAGCGUGUUUAUACGGGUGGGUGCUUAUGCUAGGGAUCCUAUAGGAGAAACCUCUGCGUGUAGUUCUCUGUUAAGCCGUGUGUGUGUGGCGUUGAAAUGAGAACCUUGUAACCGUAGAGAAGUGUUCCCUUCGGGUGGAACUGCCUGGGAAGACGAUAAGAAAUCACCCAUAUAAACCUGACUAAAGACGCUUAGGGAAAUAAACUUAGCUACUCCUGAAGCAAUAUAGUAAUAAAUACGGUGAGUACUGAGUAGGAUUAUUACAUCACUGCGAAAACCGUCGGUAGUUCCGUUGGCCUCACCAGCCUUAUAAGAUCCUGCAAAAGAUAAUCAUAAUUUACCAUAUAACCUAAUAUUAGCGGGGAGGACAUAUACACCUAUACCCCGAAUAGUUGAUAGAAUAUCAUUUGAUUUGAAUAUGAUUCAAAAAAAAAAUAUUAAUAAAAAAAUUAAUAUAAAUAAUCAAAAAUAAUGAAAAAUAUUAAAUCUUAAGAGCCAUCGUUAGCAUGUAUUAGGCAUAUAAGACCCAUCAUCAGCAUCCAAGAUCACAAAUGCAUGGGAUCCUAUGAUUUAUGGUGUGCAGACGAAGAAUAGUCAAGGAAGCAGACAGUAAGGCUGCAGUGUGUCGUAGACGCUAUCAUUAAAACACAAGACUACUCCCAAGAUGAAGGAAGCCACGUUCGUAUGCAACCAAAGAGAAGUGGCAGGCCAAAAGACCCCUUAUCACCAUGCAUGCAUGCAUCCAAAGGCUAUAAAAGAAGCCUAGGACCUAUAAAGACCUAUAAAGGAGAUGCAUCAUGGACAUGGAGAAAGGUGAGGUAAAUAAUGCAAGGGAGCACUAUUUGAGCCAGCCAUGGUGCCUAUAUAAGGAG